GACGAACGCUGGCGGCGUGCUUAACACAUGCAAGUCGAACGGAAAGGCCCUGCUUUUGUGGGGUGCUCGAGUGGCGAACGGGUGAGUAACACGUGAGUAACCUGCCCUUGACUUUGGGAUAACUUCAGGAAACUGGGGCUAAUACAGGAUAGGAGCUCCUGCUGCAUGGUGGGGGUUGGAAAGUUUCGGCGGUUGGGGAUGGACUCGCGGCUUAUCAGCUUGUUGGUGGGGUAGUGGCUUACCAAGGAUUUGACGGGUAGCCGGCCUGAGAGGGUGACCGGCCACAUUGGGACUGAGAUCAGGCCCAGACUCCUACGGGAGGCAGCAGUGGAGAAUAUUGCACAAUGGGCGGAAGCCUGAUGCAGCAACGCCGCGUGCGGGAUGACGGCCUUCGGGUUGUAAACCGCUUUCGCCUGUGACGAAGCGUGAGUGACGGUAAUGGGUAAAGAAGCACCGGCUAACUACGUG
rnacentral:rRNA from 1 species